rnacentral:rRNA from 1 species
AUGGAUCUGACCCCCCAAGCAUCCUUGAGGAUGGCGGAUGAUGAUGGACCUUGGUAUGCCGGAUUAAUCGAUGAGUGGGAUAAGGAGCAUCGUGCUCGUGCCAUUGAGAAUGGAAAUCAUGUAGUUGCUAUGCGCAUGAGGGGUCAUUCCGCUGAUGGCUUUACUUACGACCCGCGGUACGAGCCUUAUAUUCGGAGAUUGGGUCUUCUCCCAUUCGUGUUGCAGUUUAAGCGACGCGCUCCGCCGAUGAACCACGCGGCGUUGACCGCACUUGUGGAUCGUUGGAGGCCGGAGACUCACUCGUUCCACCUUCCAUGUGGGGAGCUGACGAUGACCCUAGAGGACAUGGCUAUGAUAAGCGGCCUUCCUAUCGACGGACAAGCUGUUAACGGUCGUGUCAGCGUCGUUAAUUGGCGAGAACGGACAGGCAUUUUAAUUGGUGUUCAGCCCGACGACCCUCAAGAAGGCAAGGCCGAUACCGGAGAGUGA